rnacentral:lncRNA from 1 species
ACAGUGAGAACCACCAUCCGGCCAAAUCCCCCAGCACUGGCGCAUGGACAACUCGAGAUUUCCCUCCUCUUCUUUUUUUAAAAUUAAUUUGCAAUGUCCCACAUGCUUAACACUUGCCUUCCUCCCUGGAUCUGGCACUAUUAUCUUUAGUAUUGUUUUUCUGGCAGUUUUUAUGCUUGUUUUUCCAACUAUGGCAAUUUCUCAAUCCACUACAUACCAUCCCUCAUCAUCCACAGUCACCAACCUGGGAAUCCCAUCCAUCAUUCAGAGUCACCAGCCCAUGAAGCCCACCCAUCAUCUACAGUCACCAGCCCUGUAAGCCUACCCAUCACUCAUGGUCACCAUCCUGAGAAUCCCACCCAUCAUCUACAGUCACCAGCCCAGGAAGCCCACCCAUCAUCUAUAGUCACCAGCCCGGGAAGCCCACCCGUCAUCUACAGUCACCAGCC